rnacentral:miRNA from 1 species
GUUAGUGUGUGUAUCUGUAUCUGUGUGUGUCACUCUUUGUAUCUGUGUGUUUGUACUUUUGUAUGUGUGUUAAAGUGUAUUUGCGUUUUUGUAUUUGUAUGUGUGUCACUGUAUCUAUAACACAUACAAAUGUACAAACACACAGAUACAAAGAGUGACACACACAGAUACAGAUACACACACUGAC